rnacentral:rRNA from 1 species
UACGAAGGGGGCUAGCGUUGUUCGGAAUUACUGGGCGUAAAGCGCGCGCAGGCGGUUCUUCAAGUCAGAGGUGAAAGCCCAGAGCUCAACUCUGGAAUGGCCUUUGAGACUAGAGAACUAGGGUACGGGAGAGGUGAGUGGAAUUCCGAGUGUAGAGGUGAAAUUCGUAGAUAUUCGGAAGAACACCAGUGGCGAAGGCGGCUCCCUGGCCCGUUACCGACGCUCAGGCGCGACAGCGUGGGGAGCAAACAGG